GUAACACCAGCACGUGAGACCAGGGGUGCGUCCGAAAUCGCAUACUUGCACCCUAUUUAGUAUGCAAAAUGAGUAUGCGAGAUUUUUUAGUGCGUCCGAAACGUUAGAACGUACUAAAUAGUGCACAUCAUGCAUACUCAUUCCGGAGAAUAUUUUGAGUGCGCAUCGAUGGACACUACCCGAGCAGAAAUUUCCCACAAUGCAAUGCAGCGGUGUUUGGUUGCUGCGCGCGCAACUUCGGCUGCGCAGAGCAACAUGAUGGAGGAUAAAGCUGCCGGAGCCGAGGAAAGUUGCAGCAGCAACACCAUCCCGCUACAAUUCAAAUGGACGGACGAGAAGACGAGAACCCGGAGCAGCUGAUCCGCUGGAGAGCAGCAACAACAGACUUCUCAACCGCUGUUGAAUUGAGGACAACUCAGCACGUCCAGAUGCUCCAGGGUCUUCUUCAGGGGGACAUGUCCUCCUCCAUCACGUCUCCAUCAGGGGCUGCAUGUCCUGCUCCUCCAUCACGUCUCCAUUGUCCAGGCAGAUAUUGUGCAGGAUGGAUGGAUCGGCUGUUCUUAAGCACCCGAGCAUCGUGGACAGACCCAGGGAAACCCACAAAUAUGUCCAGGAAGCGCCCCUGAUGGUCGCAGAUGGCCUGCAGCUGGAUGGAGUGGAAGAGCUUCAGCUUCAUGUUCUGAAAUAAAAUAAAUCAAAUGAAGAAAUAAGAGUUAUUGGUGUAUUUUCU